rnacentral:rRNA from 1 species
AGAGUUUGAUCCUGGCUCAGAACGAACGCUGGCGGCGUGCCUAACACAUGCAAGUCGAGCGCGAAAAGGGCAACCUGAGUAGAGCGGCGCACGGGUGCGUAACACGUGGGUAAUCUGCCUUGGAGUCGAGGAUAACUUUCCGAAAGGUUAGCUAAUACUCGGUAAGCUUACGGAGACUUCGGUCUUUGUGAGAAAAGUAGGCCUCUAUUUAUAAGCUUACGCUUCGAGAUGAGCCCGCGGCCCAUCAGCUAGUUGGCGGUGUAACGGACCACCAAGGCAACGACGGGUAGCUGGUCUGAGAGGACGAUCAGCCACACUGGAACUGAGACACGGUCCAGACUCCUACGGGAGGCAGCAGUGGGGAAUUUUCCACAAUGGGCGAAAGCCUGAUGGAGCAACGCCGCGUGUGUGAUGAAGGUUUUCGGAUCGUAAAGCACUUUCGACCGGGGCGAAAAACCUCUGGCUAACAUCCAGGGGCCUGACGGUACCGGGAGAAGAAGCACCGGCUAACUCUGUGCCAGCAGCCGCGGUAAUACAGAGGGUGCAAGCGUUGUUCGGAAUUAUUGGGCGUAAAGCGCGUGUAGGCGGCUUUGCAAGUCAGAUGUGAAAGCCCUCGGCUUAACCGAGGAAGUGCGUCUGAAACUGCAGAGCUUGAGUGUCGGAGAGGAUGGCGGAAUUCCGCAAGUAGAGGUGAAAUUCGUAGAUAUGCGGAGGAACACCGGUGGCGAAGGCGGCCAUCUGGACGACUACUGACGCUGAGACGCGAAAGCGUGGGGAGCAAACAGGAUUAGAUACCCUGGUAGUCCACGCUGUAAACGAUGAGAACUAGGUGUCGUGGGUGUUGACCCCCGCGGUGCCGCAGCUAACGCAUUAAGUUCUCCGCCUGGGAAGUACGGCCGCAAGGCUAAAACUCAAAGGAAUUGACGG